UACGUAGGUGGCGAGCGUUGUCCGGAUUUACUGGGCGUAAAGGGAGCGUAGGCGGACUUUUAAGUGUGAUGUGAAAUACUCGGGCUCAACUUGAGUGCUGCAUUUCAAACUGGAAGUCUAGAGUGCAGGAGAGGAGAAUGGAAUUCCUAGUGUAGCGGUGAGAUGCGUAGAGAUUAGGAAGAACACCAGUGGCGAAGGCGAUUCUCUGGACUGUAACUGACGCUGAGGCUCGAAAGCGUGGGGAGCAAACAGG
rnacentral:rRNA from 1 species